UGGCAUAGCGGUUAAGUGCUAUGGCUGCUAACCAAAAGGUCGGCAGUUCAAAUCUGCC
rfam:Loxodonta africana unplaced genomic scaffold scaffold_8, whole genome shotgun sequence.